CAUGAAAACUCAGGAAGGCGACAGAGUCUGUGUGGGCUAUGGAAGUCCCAGCAGGUACUGAGAUUCUGAGCUCUCUUAGAAUUCAGGAGAGACACCUGAGCACUGCUGCAGUGACGUCUGCAGUAGGACAGCACAGGCGCCUCACUCAGAGCUCUAGUAUGUUUUCCUCUCUGCACUUAGUGGUCUUCCUUGCAGAUCCAAUAGCAGAGGGAUCCAGUAAAUGCAAAACCUCUCAAUGGGGCUACUUCCACAUGACCUGUCUUUCACACGGCUCCCAGGAGAGCAGAAAAGUGAGGAGUAUUAGAUAAAUCUCUCUAGUCACGAACAAGAAGGACCCAUUUGGUAGGUCCUGAAAUACUAGCUCUUGGGCUCUACCUCACAGCCUUAGGUAAAUGAAAGUGUUUCUCAGAGCAAUACAGAAACUUCCAUUCCAGAGUGGUGUUGGCAGAACUAUGUGAGUGCAGAAAUUGAAGAGGCAUCCUUGAGUGGCAGUCUUCUGAGAGAAACUGCAGGAAACCAGAGUUAUUUGUUGAGAACUGAGACAGUAACUGUGUCCCUUGACAGAGUCCCCCUCAGUGCAGCUUUCAAAGAUGGACUUGUUCAGAUGAGUCCCUGAUCCUUCCAAAUAUGGACUUUCUAAUGUCUUUGGAGAGAAGAGGGAGAUCUGGUUAUUUUAAAAUUGCAACGUUUCCCUUCUACCCCUAAACCCUCCCAGGUAUCCUUUUAUGGAAAGGAAAGAAGGCUACAACAGGCAGGCUGGGUGUACCUGCACCUUAAGCAUCACUUGGUGGGAGGCAUUGGGGAAGGGCCUGCCAAGCACCAAGGCAAAUACCUGAAUUGCCAGAGCUCAGUCAGGUUUCUGGCCUCCCUAGACCUCUUCUUAACGUGAUUAAUGGAAACCAAGAAUUUCUGACUCCCUUAAAGUGGUAGGUUUGGCCAUAAUAUCUUGAAAUCUUCCCUCAGGAAAUGUAGAAACCACUGUCUCAUGGAAUUUUAGUAAAAUCAUUUUGUAUAAUUUCAUUCACUGGAGGGGAAGGCUUUCCUAAUUAAGAAAUAAAUGUCAACCGGUCAUUAGUCCUCAAGAUAAGUGUAAAGGAAAUAACAGUGUCAACUUUGAAUUCUGCCUCAGAGCUGUGAGACUCUGAUUAUGAAAAAAAUACCUCAAGAAAACUGAGUGAUAGCACCACUAUCCCUUAAAGACGCCAGUCGCUGCGCAUCGUUUCAGCUGUGAAGCACACACAACCACAUAUCAUCUGAUUGUCUAGGUUUCCUGUUUACAUGGAUGCAGUAGAGCUAUGUUUUAGACCAAAUGUAUCAAUAAAUCUCUCUUGGUUGGGAUGCAGGGAUGGUAAUUAAUCUCAAAAUGUUAUCAGCUCACUGGAAUAUUGGUGUUUUGGACUUGAGACAGGAGGAGCAGGUUCUAAU